rnacentral:misc_RNA from 1 species
GAUGAAGAACGCAGCGAAAUGCGAUAAGUAAUGUGAAUUGCAGAAUUCAGUGAAUCAUCGAAUCUUUGAACGCACAUUGCGCCCAUUAGCAUUCUAGUGGGCAUGCCUGUUCGAGCGUCAUUUCAACCCUUAAGCCCUGUUGCUUAGCGUUGGAGCCUACAGUACUGUAGCUCCCCAAAGUUAGUGGCGGAGUCGGUUUCACACUCUAGACGUAGUAAUUUUUUCUCGUCUGUAGUUGAGCCGGUCCCCUGCCGUAAAACACCCAAUUUAUCAAGGUUGACCUCGGAUCAGGUAGGAAUACCCGCUGAACUUAAGCAUAUCAAUAAGCGGAGGA